rnacentral:lncRNA from 1 species
AUAUGCAAAUGUUUGUAUGUUCAUAUGCAAAGAAUUUUUAUUUUGUUCAUAGAAUUUUUAUUGUUUUUUUUGUUCAUAGAAUUUUUAUUGUAAUUUUGUUCAUAGGAUUUUUUAUUGUAAUUUUGUUCAUAGGAUUUUUUUUGUUUCGUUUAGUUUUAGGAUUAUUUUAGUUUAUGUUUAGUUUAGGAAGAAGGAAAAGAAAAAGAUGAAGAAGAGGAGAAAUAAAUAAGAAGAGGAAAAAAAGGAAAAAAAGAGGAGAGGAAGAAAGGAAUAGAGGAGAAGAAGAAAAAAAUAGAAAAUCUAUUUUUUCUUCUUCUCCUUUUUUUCUUCUUUUUUUCUUCUUCUUCCUUUUCUUAUUUUUUAUCGGGUAGGUCGUUGUUGAUAUAACCCCCUCUCGACCGUGAUAACUUAUACAACAGGAGCUCCCCCGGCCCUCUCGCUCGACUAAAACUCUCGAGGACACCCAAACCCUAGAAAAAAAGGAUGUCGGUCUCCUACCCCCUCCCGUCACGCCCCUACCCGGCAAACUCUCUCGAGGCCACCCAAAUUUACCAAGUUAAAAAUAGCGUUGUCGUCGAGGCCACCCCGAACCCCUUGAAGCGUUGUUGAGGCCACCCCAAACCCUUGAAGCGUUGCCGAGGCCACCCCAAACCCUAGAGAAGCGUCGAGGCCAUGCCACUAAUAUGAUUCCUUAUCUUGCUUAGCUAGCUAGUUCAACAUUUCCCACUAAUAUAUCCAUCUGUCAUGUUUGAAUAAUAAUUGCCAUGUUGUAAAUAUUUGCAGAAACUAUGGAUCCGCACCCCCGAGACGAAGCAAAAGAAGUGGUGUUGGGGGAGAUAAUCGCACACGGAAGUGAUGCCGUCUUGUCGUUUCUCAACGACACAUGCACCGAUGGUCUUGAAAGACAGGAUGAAGAAGCAGGCUACGACGAUGAUCAAACAAUGGAGGACGAAGGACACCGUGAUGACGGCUCCGGUGACCGAAUGGAGGGG